AUGAUUCAAUCUUUUCUCUUACAAUUUCUAAAAAAUCAAAAUAUUUAAAUCAAAUAAGAGAAAUAUUGUCAAGUAAAUUCAAGUUAAAAGUAGAAAACAUA
rnacentral:tRNA from 1 species